GACGAACGCUGGCGGCGUGCUUAACACAUGCAAGUCGAACGCUGAAGCUCAGCUUUUGUUGGGUGGAUGAGUGGCGAACGGGUGAGUAACACGUGAGUAACCUGCCCCCUUCUUUGGGAUAACGCCCGGAAACGGGUGCUAAUACUGGAUAUUCACUGGUCUUCGCAUGGGGGUUGGUGGAAAGGGUUUUUCUGGUGGGGGAUGGGCUCGCGGCCUAUCAGCUUGUUGGUGGGGUGAUGGCCUACCAAGGCUUUGACGGGUAGCCGGCCUGAGAGGGUGACCGGUCACAUUGGGACUGAGAUACGGCCCAGACUCCUACGGGAGGCAGCAGUGGGGAAUAUUGGACAAUGGGCGCAAGCCUGAUGCAGCGACGCCGCGUGAGGGAUGGAGGCCUUCGGGUUGUGAAUCUCUUUCGCUAAUGGUCAAGCCGCAACAAUGGUUGUGGUGAGGGUAGUGGGUAAAGAAGCGCCGGCUAACUACGUG
rnacentral:rRNA from 1 species